ensembl:lncRNA
AGUAAUACACCACUACAAUAGGGAAAACCGUGCAGCUGAACUGAACACAACCUGGGUUUGUACAGAGGCGACUGGGCAUCACAAAGGGAGAGCGAGGGAACAGGGAGGGCGCUGAGAGGGGCUCAGUAGUCAGGGAGGCGAAAAUGACGGAAAGCGGGAAGGGCGGGUUGGGCCACGUGACACCCAGCUGCGUCUGCUGAAGGGAGCUUACGAUGUUCGGCCCCCACCCUCCCACAGAGGCUGGGAGACGAGCCCUGUCCUCAGGCGUUGCCUGGAAAAGACAGUAAAUUCCUCAAGCAGGCGUUUCAGAGGGACGAGGGUCAUUCUAGGGAUGUGAACCCGAGCUGUUAGAAACUGUGUUAGCGUUUCUUCAAUUAGAGGUCCAGGUUGAGGCCCGACUGAGAAGAGGGCUCAAGAUCCCGGCCAGACUCUGGUCUGGGAGAGGCUUCGUCAGCAUAUCCCAGCAGCAGCCUACUGCUAAACGAUGAUAGAAAAAAUAACGUAUCUGUUUCCUCGUGCGCCACGCACUAUUCCUAACCAUGAACUUAAUGAUAAACGAGUCGCGACUGCUUGAAGAGCAAAGUUUUCACCCUGAAGAUAAAAGAAGGCCACGCAAUGAGGUUGGAUGGGAGAGCGGCAGAACCGACCGAGGGCCUCCUGCAGGCGCGCCCAGCCCUCCCUGCGACCCCCUCGGCCUGAGUCCUCGGCGGUUGACCCCGGGAACCAGUGGACACGUGCGGGGCGCGAGAGGUCGCGCCUGUGCCCGAGAAGGACCCACCCCAGGAGCAGACGAGCCGACCCUGCACGUCUGGAGAUGACCUGACGGCUCGUGCUCACACGUCCGAUCUCCCCUUCCAUCCUGUUCCUCUCUGAAUUUUUAAUUUCAUUUAAUCUUGGGUAGUUUAAAGUUGAAUUUACAAAAUCGAACUUGGUUCAGUUAUUGAAAAAUCCUUACGUAUGUCUGGAACAACUUGGG